GGGCCCGUAGUUCAGCUGGUAGAAUGCCGCAUUUGCACUGCGGAGGUCAGCGGUUCGACUCCGCUCGGGUCCA
rnacentral:tRNA from 1 species